AGCAGCCGCGGUAAUUCCAGCUCCAAUAGCGUAUAUUAAAGUUGUUGCAGUUAAAAAGCUCGUAGUUGAAUUUCGGGGUUAGUAGAUUGGUCAUGCCUCUGGUAUGUACUGGUCUCACUGAUUCCUCCUUCCUGAUGAACCUUAAUGCCAUUAAUUUGGUGUUUUGGGGAAUUUGGACUGUUACUUUGAAAAAAUUAGAGUGUUUAAAGCAAGCUAACGCUUGAAUACAUUAGCAUGGAAUAAUGAAGUAGGACGUUCGAUCCUAUUUUGUUGGUUUCUAGGAUUGACGUAAUGAUUAAUAGGGAUAGUUGGGGGCAUUAGUAUUCAAUUGUCAGAGGUGAAAUUCUUGGAUUUAUUGAAGACUAACUACUGCGAAAGCAUUUGCCAAGGAUGUUUUCAUUAAUCAAGAACGAAAGUUAGGGGAUCGAAGACGAUCAGAUACCGUCGUAGUCUUAACCAUAAACUAUGCCGACUAGGGAUCGGAUGAUGUUAAUUUUUUAAUGACUCA
rnacentral:rRNA from 1 species